rnacentral:rRNA from 1 species
CCUACGGGCGGCAGCAGUGGGGAAUAUUGGGCAAUGGGCGCAAGCCUGACCCAGCAACGCCGCGUGAAGGAAGAAGGCUUUCGGGUUGUAAACUUCUUUUCUGAGGGACGAAGAAAGUGACGGUACCUCAGGAAUAAGCCACGGCUAACUACGUGCCAGCAGACGCGGUAAUACGUAGGGGGCGCGCGUUGUCCGGAAUCACUGGGCGUAAAGGGCGCGUAGGCGGUAAUAUAAGUCAGAUGUGAAAGGUGGGGGCUCAACCCCUAGAGUGCAACGGGUACUGUAUAACUUGAGUGUGAGAGGGGGGAGCGGAAUUCCUAGUGUAGCGGUGAAAUGCAUAGAUAUUAGGAGGAACACCAGGGGCGAAGGCGGCUUUCUGGCUCAUAACUGACGCUGAGGCGCGAAAGCGUGGGGAGCGAACAGGAUUAGAUACCCCUGUAGUC